GACCGGAAGGGCUGGAGCCAGGAUCCACCCCUUCCCAGACCUCAUUUAAGGGUUGGCAGUGGAGGUGAGAGUUUCUCACUGGAAAUUCCUGUCUAUGUAAGGUCUUUUGAGGAUGGGGAAUGAUUUUCAGAAGUAAUCUGUGCAGAAAUUGUUAUUUACUACUGAGUUGCCUGGUACUACUGCCUUGACUCUGUCCUUCAUAAGAUUAAGCUCUCUUACUUCACUGAACAGCAGCAGAAAUUGCAUUUACAACUAUGACUGGUCUGAAGUGCGUUAAUACUACUAAAAGUCAGAUGGAGAACUGAUGCCCUCAAAAUCACAACCUGGCACUGGGCUCAUGUGUUAGAAAAUGCAGAGCUCUAUGGUUAUAGCCACAUUCUCCAGCCAUGGGAAAUGCUACUUCAAGUUUUUUAAAAAUGUAAUUUUUUUUUCCUUUCCUUCACUGUCUCUUUUUCUGGAUGAACCCUACUACACUAGUGUUUGUAAUUCAAACUUCAAUGAGUUGCCCUGUUUUAAGUCUUUUUACAUGAAUGGAGCUCUUUCGUGAAUGAAAGUAGAAGUUGGCCUUGAAAAAGGUAGUGUAUGUCUUAGGGAGGGCAGAAACAACUCUUUGAUGUUCAGAGCAGGCUGAGCUAUAUAGUUUUGGGUUGUUUUUUUUUUUUUGAGUUUCUUUCUGAUAACCUGUGAAAAUUGUAUUAAUUUGAGGUUUCUAGUCCUUCAUCUUGUUAAUGCUACCCUUAUGUGCUGGAUGACUCUGCUGGUCAAAGACUCCCUUCUUUCAUUGACAACUUUUGUCCCAUUAAUAGAGCAGGAACCUUACCUAUCAGGCCUCAGCCCUCUUUCAAGGAUUGCAUACUUGAAACCAUACCCAGUAAAUCAGUUGCUUAUGCUCAUAGGUCUGUUGUAGUAGGUGUUUGACAGGGAUAUGUGAUGUACGGGACAGGCCUCUCCCUAAGCACAGUGAGAGGGUGCUAUCAUGUUCUGACAGACUGACCUUGCUGUCAAAUAAACAAGAUAAGAAGAACGCAAAGGAAUGAGGAGACAAUAGGAGCCAAUAAGGAAAAGGGUUAAUAUCCAGUGUGAACAAAUCAGAGUAAGACACGAUGGUACGAUUGUUUAAGUAAAAGUAUAUAAGCUGUGCAUAGUAGUGAAUGAAACGCCAUUUUACUGCUCAUCAUAUUGGUGUACAUUUGCAGUCAUUUGGCCCUGACCAGGUAAUUGGUCAGUGUGCACUAGGGCUAACACAGGAGGCUAACGUCACAGUUGCAGAAGGCAACAUAGGUCUAUUUCAAUAUUUUCUUCACAAAUAGAUAUUUUCCUCUACUGCACAUAAGUAAAAAAAUCGAUAGGUAUUUGUAAUAUACAUUGAUUUUAAUACAGAGCUUCCUCAAGGGAAUACAUUAUACUUCGUGUUCUUCGAAGACUGUACACAAUGACAACAUAUUUGUAUUAAUUACAUUUUCCCAUUGAAAUGCUCAAUUUUACUUUACUCUUAAAAAAAGUAAGAUAUACCUCUAUGUCAUAG
rnacentral:lncRNA from 1 species